GAUGAACGCUGGCGGCGUGCCUAAUACAUGCAAGUCGAGCGAACAGAUAAGGAGCUUGCUCCUUUGACGUUAGCGGCGGACAGGUGAGUAACACGUGGGUAACCUACCUAUAAGACUGGGAUAACUUCGGGAAACCGGAGCUAAUACCGGAUAACAUUUGGAACCGCAUGGUUCUAAAGUGAAAGAUGGUUUUGCUAUCACUUAUAGAUGGACCCGCGCCGUAUUAGCUAGUUGGUAAGGUAACGGCUUACCAAGGCAACGAUACGUAGCCGACCUGAGAGGGUGAUCGGCCACACUGGAACUGAGACACGGUCCAGACUCCUACGGGAGGCAGCAGUAGGGAAUCUUCCGCAAUGGGCGAAAGCCUGACGGAGCAACGCCGCGUGAGUGAUGAAGGGUUUCGGCUCGUAAAACUCUGUUAUUAGGGAAGAACAAACGUGUAAGUAACUGUGCACGUCUUGACGGUACCUAAUCAGAAAGCCACGGCUAACUACGUG
rnacentral:rRNA from 1 species